UACGGAGGGUGCGAGCGUUAAUCGGAAUUACUGGGCGUAAAGGGUGCGUAGGCGGUUUGUUAAGUUAUUUGUGAAAACCCUGGGCUUAACCUAGGAAUUGCGAGUGAUACUGAUAGACUAGAAUAUAGGAGAGGGCAUUGGAAUUUCCGGUGUAGCGGUGAAAUGCGUAGAUAUCGGAAGGAACACCGGUGGCGAAGGCGGAUGCCUGGCCUAAUAUUGACGCUGAGGCACGAAAGCGUGGGUAGCGAAC
rnacentral:rRNA from 1 species